UACGUAGGGUGCGAGCGUUGUCCGGAAUUAUUGGGCGUAAAGAGCUCGUAGGCGGUGUGUCACGUCGGCCGUGAAAACCUGCAGCUUAACUGUGGGCGUGCGGUCGAUACGGGCAUCACUGGAGUUCGGCAGGGGAGACUGGAAUUCCUGGUGUAGCGGUGAAAUGCGCAGAUAUCAGGAGGAACACCGGUGGCGAAGGCGGGUCUCUGGGCCGAUACUGACGCUGAGGCGCGAAAGCGUGGGUAGCAAACAGG
rnacentral:rRNA from 1 species